ensembl:lncRNA
CUGUGACCUGUAUGUAGCAGUCUUGAACGACAUCAACUCAUGAUGAUGUCACAUUGCACAUAGCUAGAUUAACAGAGUUUGCCGAGAAGUUCACUAUUUUGAUAACUAUCUUUCUCUGCAGCUCAGGGGACCCAAAGAAACCCACCGUUCAAGCCCCCCCUUACUCACAGAAUGCUCAGGCGCGUGCCAAGGCCCCUUCUGCCCGGGGUACCAGGGGGUCUGCCAAACCUGUGUGCAAGAGUGAGCCUGGCACCGACACCCCAACCGUGGAGGUGGAGGCAAAGGUAGUUGAAAAGAAGACAGUUGGGAUGUGAGUAUACACACAUAUUCUUACUCAGUGUGUGUGUGAGAGGGGCUUGGGUCUGUCUCUCUGUGCUACCGUAGUAACACUGCCUCCUC